ACGGCGCCUAAGCGGCUCAAACGCUCAAAAGUUUGAUUAUACUUUAUGAGAACCGAUGACAACAGGGCAACUUGCAAAGUAGAUAUUUCAUUUAAGGGAGGAAACACUACGAAUAUGCAAAAGCAUUUGCUCACAAAACACGCGAUGACACGCGUUUUUAAUUCCGCUUCGGACUCGUGACUCUCAACCCAGCAGCAGCGCUAACGUUUGCACGUCCUCUCCCGUUAAUGCGGCAGGUGACCAUGAUGAGAGAGACAGACAGAGUCUGGCUCAGAUGCUGGCAGUUCUCGCUGCAGUCUACCGGUAGCGUCUCCUUUCAGGCCAGGAUAGACUAAUGUCACCGAGCAGUGUCUAAGUUUGUGGUCAAAGGCUUGCACCCAUUUGCCACAGCAGAUGCCCCCGAUUUUUGAUUCAGUCACCCCAGCCAUAAACUGUUCAGACUGCUUCCAUCAGGAAGGAGGUUCUGCAGCAUCCGGUCCCGUACCAGCAGACUGAGAGACAGCUUCUUCCAUCAGGCCAUCAGACUGCUGAACACGUCAUAGACACCUCAGCUUCACUACUGGAACUUCAACAUUAUGCACUCCACACUGUAUAUAAAUGCCACUUGUUUUGCACAUAUUCAACUCUGUAUAUUUUAUAUAUUUUAUUAUUAUUAUUUUUUUUUUUUUUUACUAUUUAAUUUGUAAAAAAUGUGUAUACACACACACACACACACACACACACACACACACACACACACACACACGUAGGAAAAUAUUUAGUAUACACAUCCAGAAAUGCAUACACUAUUAUAUAUUGUACAUAUAUUUAUUAGUUUCAGGUUGGCCAUUCUUGUAUUUUGCUCGUUUGUGUUGUUGUGUUUGCACAUCUCUGUUGCUUGUGGGGCUCGCACACAAGAAUUUCACUCGCAUGUGCUGUGCCAGUGUGCCUGCACAUGUGAUGUGACAAUAAAAG
ensembl:lncRNA